rnacentral:rRNA from 1 species
UACGGAGGAUCCGAGCGUUAUCCGGAUUUAUUGGGUUUAAAGGGUGCGCAGGCGGGAGAUUAAGUCGGCGGUGAAAUUUUGCAGCUCAACUGUAAAAGUGCCUUCGAAACUGGUUUCCUUGAGUGUGGAUGAGGUAGGCGGAAUUUGUGGUGUAGCGGUGAAAUGCAUAGAUAUCACGAGGAACUCCGAUUGCGCAGGCAGCUUACUAAGCCAUAACCGACGCUCAAGCACGAAGGCGUGGGGAUCAAACAGGAUUAGAUACCCCUGUA